rnacentral:lncRNA from 1 species
GGGAAAUGUAGUCAUUGGAGUUUUGUUCUGUCAUGGAACAUUCUCCACGUUGGAGUUUGGCCUGAGCAAGGCUCUACAACAGGAUAUUUAGUGAUUUCGCAAUCUUUAGUAUUUUUUAAUAUUAGGAAAUAAGCAAGUCAAGAAUAGUUAAGAACUUGCUCUGACACACAUCCAUCUCAGCUCAGCCGGGGAUAAGGAGACUCUCGCAACAAGCGACGAAGCUCGGCGGGAGAUCUCUCGAUUACCUGCACCUGCAUCUCAUCAGCACACCUGGUGCUGAUCAUCACCUCUUCUCUUCAUAAGCUCUGACCUGACAUCUAUUCCCUGCCGGAUCGUUAGCAAUGAACAUCAUCCUCCUGGAACAUUCAACCCCCUUGCCUGGUCGUCGGUGGUUUCAGUGACUUCAUUGGAUCUGCCUACUCACUCUCAUCAACUCACCUCCGC